rnacentral:tRNA from 2 species
GCGCCGUUGGUGUAACGGAAAGCACGGCAUCCAGCCGGGAUGCAAGACGCGGUUUGAGGCCGACGGCGGCGCUCCA